rnacentral:snRNA from 1 species
CUUUGUAUCUUCUAACAAGAA